UACGUGGGGGGCAAGCGUUGUUCGGAAUUACUGGGCGUAAAGGGCUCGUAGGCGGCCAACUAAGUCAGACGUGAAAUCCCUCGGCUUAACCGGGGAACUGCGUCUGAUACUGGAUGGCUUGAGAUUGGGAGAGGGAUGCGGAAUUCCAGGUGUAGCGGUGAAAUGCGUAGAUAUCUGGAGGAACACCGGUGGCGAAGGCGGCAUCCUGGACCAACACUGACGCUGAGGAGCGAAAGCGUGGGGAGCAAACAGG
rnacentral:rRNA from 1 species